CCUACGGGUGGCAGCAGUAGGGAAUAUUGCUCAAUGGGGGAAACCCUGAAGCAGCAACGCCGCGUGGAGGAUGAAGGUUUUCGGAUUUGAAACUCCUUUUGUUAGAGAAGAUAAUGACGGUAUCUAACGAAUAAGCACCGGCUAACUCCGUUCCAGCAGCCGCGGUAAUACGGAGGGUGCAAGCGUUACUCGGAAUCACUGGGCGUAAAGGGCGCGUAGGCGGGUUAGCAAGUCAGAUGUGAAAUCCUAUGGCUUAACCAUAGAACUGCAAUUGAAACUGUUAUUCUUGAGUAUGGGAGAGGUAGGUGGAAUUCGUGGUGUAGGGGUAAAAUGCGUAGAGAUCACGAAGAACACUGAUUGCGAAGGCGACCUGCUAGAA
rnacentral:rRNA from 1 species